AAGCUGUGAUGAUAUUUGUGUCAAUUGUGGUGAUGGGUUCAUCACUAUAUUGCCUUUAGUGGCUAAAAAACUGGCACAUCUGAGCUU
rnacentral:snoRNA from 14 species